UAUUAGGAUUUUGAAAUUAUUCUUUGAGUAGGAAACUUUUGAGAUGAUAUGAAAUAAUAGCAUGAGUUUCUUGACGAUUUAGAUUUUUAAUAAAAUCCAGUGUUGUUUUAUAUUAUUUUUAUCUAUUGGAAGUUAUUGGUUCCUUAUUCUGUUUAAAUCCAGCAUACCACUUUUUGCAUUAACUUUUAUGAAUACUAUACUGUAUUACUGAGACGGUGGGCUAACCUAAGUUAAUGAAUUGAACUGUUGUCUCCAUAAAAAAUCUGUUCGUCCGAUAUAUGGAAAUUAAGAAGAUUGGACUAAAACAAAGUAUUAUUCCAUAUUACUUCGAUUAAGUUCUAUCUCCUUUUUUUUUGUAUAAACAUUGUUGUAACAUAAAUAUAAAGAACAAAACCAAUUUAUAGUGUUAAUAUCUUUGUAAUACUAGUUAUUUCUAAUAAUACUAGUUUGCUGAAUACACAUACAAAAUAUUGGGUGAAAAACUAACAAAUUUAGGCAUUUUGUUAUUAUAUGGGUUGUGAAAUAAGUACAAAUAUGUAUAUUCAAUCUUUCCACAAGGUUUUAAAGUACAGUUACAUACAAGGUAAGCAUAAUAAAAUAAUUGACAAUUGCUUGUUUCCAUUGUUAAAGUUUAAUAGAGACAAAGUAAAUGAAAGAAUAAUAAAAUUAACAUGAUGGAAGAUAAGCUUUAAAGUGAAAAUGGUGUAUUCUAGGCACAUUGAAAGCGUACAACUGUGUGAAAAGUUUGCCUUGCUAAAUGAGCCAGGUUAGUACAGCCAGAGUCAAAGGUUAUCAAUACAGAAUUGUAAAACAUCAUGAAUCGUAAAAUCUUUUUGUUUCAGUUUGUCUUUAGUCUUUUUAAAUAUUUUAAGCAGGGUUUUUUUUUAGAGCAAGAAUUAUACUAUCAAUGCAGUAGAGCGGUUGGAAAAGAUUGAGUUUCUUUUUUAGUUACUUCAACUACUUGUUAUUUUUUGUUAUUAGAAAGGUUAAUAAAAGUUAACGUUUUUAGACAGUCGAAGAUUCUGAUUUGAGAAUAGAAAAAGUCUAAAAAAUUCUGCUGGAUGUUGUCAAAAGAAUGUUAUGUUAUGCUUCUUUCUAAGCAGUCAUUUUGGUUUGCCUACUGUUGAAAUAUGGU